AGAGUUUGAUCCUGGCUCAGGACGAACGCUGGCGGCGUGCCUAACACAUGCAAGUCGAGUGAGAUGAACCCUUCGGGGGGACUCUAGCGGCGGACGGGUGAGUAACACGUGGGUAACCUGCCUCAAAGAGGGGGAUAGCCUCCCGAAAGGGAGAUUAAUACCGCAUAACAUUAUUUCUUCGCAUGAAGAGAUAAUCAAAGGAGUAAUCCGCUUUGAGAUGGACCCGCGGCGCAUUAGCUAGUUGGUGAGGUAAUGGCUCACCAAGGCGACGAUGCGUAGCCGACCUGAGAGGGUGAUCGGCCACAUUGGAACUGAGAUACGGUCCAGACUCCUACGGGAGGCAGCAGUGGGGAAUAUUGCGCAAUGGGGGAAACCCUGAUGCAGCAACGCCGCGUGAGUGAUGAAGGUCUUCGGGUUGUAAAGCUCUGUCUUCUGGGACGAUAAUGACGGUACCAGAGGAGGAAGCCACGGCUAACUACGUGCCAGCAGCCGCGGUAAUACGUAGGUGGCAAGCGUUGUCCGGAUUUACUGGGCGUAAAGGGAGCGUAGGCGGAUAUUUAAGUCAGAUGUGAAAUACCCGAGCUUAACUUGGGUGCUGCAUUUGAAACUGGAUAUCUGGAGUGCAGGAGAGGAAAGUGGAAUCCCUAGUGUAGCGGUGAAAUGCGUAGAGAUUAGGAAGAACACCAGUGGCGAAAGGCGACUUUCUGGACUGUAACUGACGCUGAGGCUUCGAAAGCGUGGGGGAGCAAACAGGAUUAGAUACCCUGGGUAGUCCACGCCGUAAACGAUGAAUACUAGGUGUAGGAGGUAUCGACCCUUCUGCGCCGCAGUUAACACAAUAAGUAUUCCG
rnacentral:rRNA from 1 species